rnacentral:RNase_P_RNA from 2 species
CUAGUGGUAAUCUCGCACUUGGAGCACCCGUACGAGUACCUGGUUACUCUGGUUUGUUUGCUUCGGGAAGGUCUGAGAUAAGGCAUGCAAAUAUGCCUCAGCAAGGCAGCUCUUUGAACAGGGCGUUCGCUACCAGCAAUACAUCAGUUGCGGAUGACGCGGUGUCCUGCUGUAACAUAGGAAAAUGGUUUCAUUUCUUCUAGUUGCGUUUGACACUGAUUGAAAACAGCGGAUUGCCAGCCAUUUGAGUCAAAUAUGCGAGCUACCAUUGGGGAGUAUCGAUUGUCACCAAUCGGUGCUUUCUGGCGUAGAACUCAAUUCAGACUAAUCUAUCACUAG